rnacentral:rRNA from 1 species
GUUUGAUCAUGGCUCAGAUUGAACGCUGGCGGCAUGCCUUACACAUGCAAGUCGAACGGUAACAGGUCUUCGGAUGCUGACGAGUGGCGAACGGGUGAGUAAUACAUCGGAACGUGCCCGAUCGUGGGGGAUAACGAAGCGAAAGCUUCGCUAAUACCGCAUAAGAUCUAAGGAUGAAAGCAGGGGACCGCAAGGCCUUGCGCGAACGGAGCGGCCGAAGGCAGAUUAGGUAGUUGGUGGGAUAAAAGCUUACCAAGCCGACGAUCUGUAGCUGGUCUGAGAGGACGACCAGCCACACUGGGACUGAGACACGGCCCAGACUCCUACGGGAGGCAGCAGUGGGGAAUUUUGGACAAUGGGCGAAAGCCUGAUCCAGCCAUGCCGCGUGCAGGAUGAAGGCCUUCGGGUUGUAAACUGCUUUUGUACGGAACGAAAAGACUCUGGUUAAUACCUGGGGUCCAUGACGGUACCGUAAGAAUGAGCACCGGCUAACUACGUGCCAGCAGCCGCGGUAAUACGUAGGGUGCAAGCGUUAAUCGGAAUUACUGGGCGUAAAGCGUGCGCAGGCGGUUAUAUAAGACAAGAUGUGAAAUCCCCGGGCUCAACCCUGGGAACCUGCAUUUGUGACCUGUAUAAGUAGAGUACG